rnacentral:rRNA from 1 species
AGCGUGUGGUUUAAUUCGUUGCUACACGAAGAACCUUACCUGGGUUUGACAUAUAGGUUGUAGGGAACUGAAAAGGGACCGACCCUUCGGGGAGCCUAUACAGGUGUUGCAUGGCUGUCGUCAGCUCGUGUCGUGAGAUGUUCGGUUAAGUCCGCUAACGAGCGCAACCCUCGUCGUAUGUUAUAUGUGUCAUACGAGACUGCCGGUAAAAGCCGGAGGAAGGUGAGGAUGAUGUCAAGUCAGCAUGACCUUUAUAUCCAGGGCUACACACACGCUACAAUGGUCUGUACAAUGGGUAGCCAAGCCGCGAGGCGGAGCCAAUCCUGAAAGCAGGCCUCAGUUCAGAUUGCAGUCUGCAACUCGACUGCAUGAAGCCGGAGUUGCUAGUAACCGCAGGUCAGCAAUACUGCGGUGAAUACGUUCCCGGGUCUU